rnacentral:rRNA from 1 species
UACGUAGGGCGCAAGCGUUAUCCGGAAUUAUUGGGCGUAAAGAGCUCGUAGGCGGUUUGUCGCGUCUGCCGUGAAAGUCCGGGGCUCAACUCCGGAUCUGCGGUGGGUACGGGCAGACUAGAGUGAUGUAGGGGAGACUGGAAUUUACGGUGUAGCAGUGAAAUGCGUAGAGAUCGUAAGGAAGGCCAGUGGCGAAGGCGAGUUCCUGGACAGUUACUGACGCUGAGGCACGAAGGCCAGGGGAGCAAACGGG